UACAAGCCUCUAAGAAUACAUAAAUGUCAUAGAGGUCGGGAUAGAGUCCCGCCAUACCAAACAAUACACGUCUAAAUCAUACUAACCAAACAAGCAACUCCGAAGCAAAUGGAGCGCACCAACAUCUUUCGCCGAGCUGAUAGCCUACUUGGAGGGCUCUCGACCUGUCUAUCGGGACCUGCGGGCAUGAAACGCAGCCUCCCCAUGUAAAAGGGACGUCAGUACGAAUAAUGUACCGAGUAUGUAAGGCACAUAAAUAAAUACAUAAGAACAUGGAAGACAUAUAGAGUACAUGACUCAACCUGUAAGUCUGAAUAACUUUGUAAAUCAUAAAUUACUUUUAACAUCAUGCAUAUGCAUAUGAAUGUCAUGUCUUGCAAAGGUACAUGUUUCAUAACAUCAUUAGUCUCUGAGGGCAUCCCAUCAUAUUAUAUCGGCCAUUGUGGGCAAAAUCAUCAUCGUAUACCAGCUGAUCAGGUGGUGGUGCGUAUAUAACGCCAUAACCAUUCCCAUAUCCCAUAUACAUAUAUAUACAUACAUACAUAUAUAUGCGUAUACAACUCCAUUUGAAUACAUACAUAUAUAUGCGUAUAUAACACCGUUUGAAUCAUAUUUUAGCCACUGUGGGCAACAUCAUCAUCAUAUACCAGCUGAUCAGGUGGUAGUGCGUAUAUAACGUCGUAACCUUUCCCAUAUCCCAUAUACAUAUAUUUACAUAUAUACGCAUAUAUAACGCCAUCUGGUCAUGGGUCAAUGUAUAUGAAUGCAAUAUUUAAAAAGUACGUCAAAAAAUCAUUCGGAAUAUCAUAAGACCAUUUUGCCUCUGAGUAAUAUUAUAAAGUAAACUCUUUUCAACUUUCGUAUUUUUCUGAGACCCAUGAACAGAUGAUAAGAUAUUAUAACACAUAGAAAUUCAAGAACACAGAUAUCUCUAAUACUUCUAUGAAUAGAGUCAUUCAUGGAAUUUAUGAAUUUGCACGUUCCGUUCGUAUCGUAUGGAUCAUGCCAAAAGAAAGAAGGGAUAACCUUAACAUAUCUGGAGUAGGAGAAACUCUGUAUAAUAUUUCGUUGGAAGACCUUCGUUGUUUGAACGAAAUGUGCCUUUGCUCCUUAAAAAUUCACGGACGAAAAUAUUUUCUGGUUCCUAAAACUUUGGAACGAAUGAUCAUUGAAUUCUUUUGAUUUUGGAGAAAAACGUUUCUGGUUCUUCUUAGUUUUGAAAGAAUGACAUUGAAUUCAUUUUGAUUUUUUUGGAGGAAAACGUUUUUCUUUGGUUGCUUGAGAAUUUGAGAUGGAACGUUUCUGUUCCUUGAAGCUUUGGAAAGAAUGACAUUUCUUUGAGUCAUUUUGGUUCAUAUUUAGACUUUGGAAGAUAACUUAGUUAGUU
rnacentral:lncRNA from 1 species